AAAAUCUCCACUCUUUCCAAUAUUACUUGAGACCUUCCCUGCAAAAUGCUGAGCUACCAAGAGAAACAAAUUGUCUGGUUUCCCACUAUUGCCUGGAACCAGAAACAUCGAGAGGCCCCAGAGUCCGGAAGUACCACCAAGUGGCUGCCAUGAACAGGUCCUUGCCCUGCAUCCCGGGGCUGGCUUAGGGCUCCCUCUUAGAGGUAGCACAGAAAGAUCCACCUGUGGGAAAUGUUCUAUCAAGCACCUCUGGAAUGUCCCUCUGCAGAUCAGCACUCCACUAAGUCAUGGAGGUUCCUAGUGGGAAGAAUGUUGCUUUGCUCUUGCUGACACAGAGGUUUCUUCUCUUCACCCCAUGAGCCCAGCCCAGUCACAGCCUCAGCCACAACACCUCCAUCUCUGCGUGACCAGUGCCUGGGACA
rnacentral:lncRNA from 1 species